UUCUCCAACCAGUAGAAUGUCAGAUAUGGUGCUGAUCAAUGAAGCCUUCCUUGAGGGUGCGCUUGCUGUGCUUCUUACAGCGGCCCUUAUGGGCGAGUACUGUCUAACCACAUUCAUCUAUUUCCGCCCCUAUGGCACGUUGCCAGAUUGUGUGGUUUCCCACCCAAUUGGGCAGUUUUGAAUUUUGUUUCAUGAAUUGCUACUUCAACUGGGCAGUUUUCGAUUUCUUAAAGUACAUUAGGAUUUAAAAGGGAUCUGGUUUCUUUCCUUAUUGAUGAAUGGAAUUGUCAGCGAGCAAAGCUACAAAAAUACUUAAUUGUCUUUGCCACCUUGUAAAAAUCUGUGUUGCCAGGUUUCCAGAUUUUUGUUUUUGUUUUGUUUUUUUGUUUGUUUUUUUGCUGAAAAUAGUCACUUUUGAAGUGUUGCAAAUUAUAUUGUUGCUUGUAUUUCUUUUGGGGGGGGGGGGGGGGGCUGAUGGACUGGAUUUGUUACAGAAACCUGGCACCUCUGUGUGGGGAAACAUAUUUUCACCACAUGUGCAUUUGUCCAGAUGCUGUCCUACACAGCUUUUCUUUGCAUCUUAGUUAUUUCUGGAAGGGGUUCUGCUUGGAGUUGCUGUAUUUUGUUGGU